GACGAACGCUGGCGGCGUGCUUAACACAUGCAAGUCGAACGGAAAGGCCCUGCUUUUGUGGGGUGCUCGAGUGGCGAACGGGUGAGUAACACGUGAGUAACCUGCCCCUGACUUUGGGAUAACUUCAGGAAACUGGGGCUAAUACCGGAUAGGAGCUCCUGCUGCAUGGUGGGGGUUGGAAAGUUUCGGCGGUUGGGGAUGGACUCGCGGCUUAUCAGCUUGUUGGUGGGGUAGUGGCUUACCAAGGCUUUGACGGGUAGCCGGCCUGAGAGGGUGACCGGCGACAUUGGGACUAAGAGACGGCCCAGACGCCUACGGGAGGCAGCGGGGGAGAAUAUGGCAGAGUGGGGGGGAGCCUGAUGCGGCGGCGCCGGGUGCGGGAUGACGGCCUUCGGGUUGUAAACCGCUUUCGCCUGUGACGAGGCGGGAGUGACGGUAAUGGGUAAAGAAGCACCGGCUAACUACGUG
rnacentral:rRNA from 1 species